rnacentral:rRNA from 1 species
CGCGUAGGUGGUUCUUCAAGUCAGAUGUUAAAUCUCCCGGCCUAACUGGGAGCGGUCAUCUGAUACUGCUGGACUUGAGGGCGGUAGAGGGAGGUGGAAUUCCCGGUGUAGUGGUGAAAUGCGUAGAUAUCGGGAGGAACACCAGUGGCGAAAGCGGCCUCCUAGGCCGUUCCUGACACUGAGGCGCGAAAGCGUGGGGAGCGAACAGGAUCAGAUACCCUGGUAGUCCACGCCCUAAACUGUGGAAACUAGGUACAGGGAGUAUCGACCCUUCCUGCGCCGUAGCUAACGCGUUAAGUUUCCCGCCUGGGGACUACGGUCGCAAGACUAAA